GACGAACGCUGGCGGCGUGCCUAAUACAUGCAAGUCGAACGAAUCACUUCGGUGGUUAGUGGCGAACGGGUGAGUAACACGUAGGUAAUCUGCCCUUCAGACGAGGAUAACGGUUGGAAACGACCGCUAAUACUGGAUAGUACAUCUUGUCGCAUGACGGGAUGUUUAAAGUUCCGUAUGGAACACUGGAGGAGGAGCCUGCGGCGCAUUAGUUAGUUGGCGGGGUAACAGCCCACCAAGACAAUGAUGCGUAGCCGGACUGAGAGGUUGAACGGCCACAUUGGGACUGAGACACGGCCCAGACUCCUACGGGAGGCAGCAGUAGGGAAUAUUGCACAAUGGGGGAAACCCUGAUGCAGCGACGCCGCGUGAGCGAUGAAGUAUUUCGGUAUGUAAAGCUCUAUCAGCAGGGAAGAAAAUGACGGUACCUGACUAAGAAGCCCCGGCUAACUACGUG
rnacentral:rRNA from 1 species